AUUGAACGCUGGCGGCAUGCCUUACACAUGCGAGUCGAACGGUAACGGGCCUUCGGGUGCCGACGAGUGGCGAACGGGUGAGUAAUACAUCGGAACGUGCCCGAUCGUGGGGGAUAACGAGGCGAAAGCUUUGCUAAUACCGCAUACGAUCUACGGAUGAAAGCAGGGGACCGCAAGGCCUUGCGCGGACGGAGCGGCCGAUGGCAGAUUAGGUAGUUGGUGAGGUAAAAGCUUACCAAGCCGACGAUCUGUAGCUGGUCUGAGAGGAUGAUCAGCUACACUGGGACUGAGACACGGCCCAGACUCCUACGGGAGGCAGCAGUGGGGAAUUUUGGGCAAUGGGCGCAAGCCUGAUCGAGCCAUGCCGCGUGCAGGAUGAAGGCCUUCGGGUUGUAAACUGCUUUUGUAAGGAACGAAAAGCCUUCUUUUAAUACAGGAGGGUCAUGACGGUACCGUAAGAAUAAGCACCGGCUAACUACGUG
rnacentral:rRNA from 1 species